rnacentral:rRNA from 1 species
CCUACGGGUGGCAGCAGUGGGGAAUAUUGGGCAAUGGAGGCAACUCUGACCCAGCAAUGCCGCGUGAGUGAUGAAGGUAAUUUUAUUGUAAAGCUCUUUUCUUUGGAACGAAUAAAUGACAGUACCAAAGGAAUAAGCUCCGGCUAACUACGUGACAGCAGCCGCGGUAAUACGUAAGGGGCAACCGUUUUUCGGGAUGACUUGGCGGCAAGGGUGUGUAGGGGGUUUGAUAAGUUAGAUGGGGAAUACCCAGGGCUUAACUCGGGUGCUGCAUCUAAAACUGUUAGACUUGAGUACCGGAGAGGAUAGUGGAAUUCCUAGUGUAGCGGUGGAAUGCGGAGAGAUUAGGAGGAACAUCAGUGGCGAAGGCGACUAUCUGGACAGCAACUGACACUGAGGCACGAAAGCGUGGGGAGCAAACAGGAUUAGAUACCCGGGUAGUC